ACCACAGUGCAUGCAGUUGAUCAGAUGACUACCAAAACCCCAAGUGAAGUUUCUCCUCAGAAAUGAUAUAUAUCAUUAUUUGAAUCUUGAAGAUCAAUAACAUGCUACGCUCCCUUUGUGGAGUUUCUUUACUGCAUUUCUUAUGUAACCUCUAAUAAGACCUUUAUUUGUGAAUGUUUUGGAUUUAUCAUCAUUGGCGCUAGGCCGCGGGUUAAAAUAGGUGCAGCCAUUUAUGGAUUGUGAUAUUUUGAACUAGUUUUAACGUAGGAUUUGGUUGUGGAUAAGUCUAACAUGACAGAAAGUAAAGAGCAAAAAGAUUUCCAAUCACUUAAUCAGGCUACCAAGGCAAAUAUUUAUUGUCAAUAUCAUUAUUUUUUACCCGAUACAAACGAUAUUGAGAAAGAAGGAAAUGGACACAAGACUUCUGGCUAAGAACGAAAUGUCAUUUGAGUUCAAGCUUAUGAGCUUGGUUUAUUGUUAACUAUUGAUAUCAGAUUCACCAUUAACUUGUGGGGCUCCUCUAAUUCUUGCAACAACACGUAUCGUUGUCGAUGCAUCCACCAUUGAUGUUUCCGCCAUAUUGUUGAAUGCAGGUUAAGAUACAGGAUUGCUUUGAGCAGUUCAUAAUUGGAAUAGUAGGGAAGGAGCAUGUUUGUGCCUCUCCUUGCAUUUUACCUAAAUAUCCACUCCAAAAAAAAAAAAAAAAAAAGGCUAAGACAUGUGAAGCCAUAAACCGAGCAUGAAUUCAGAUUGUGAACCAAAAAGCCUAAUAUAUUUAUUAUAUAUAAAGAAGGACAUGCAUAUACCAAGAGAGAAAACCAAGAGAAGCAAAAUAAGCAGAGGGAAAAAAGCUGACUGGCCCUUCAUCUCUGUCUCUGAGAACAAGUAUGAAAAAUAUGUACUCAGCGGUCACAGUGCUAAUAACCUGCAAGCUCUCCUCGAUCUCUAUGUCUUCGUUUAUAACAAUCUUAAGGCUAAUAGUCAUCCCUUCCACACACUGUCAGUCAAACUCUUCUAAUCUCCUAGAUUCUCAAUUAAUGAUACAUAUACAUUGGUCAUGAUUUGCAUCCCUAAAGGGAGAUUUGAAUGUGACCUGUAUCAUUUUGUAUUUUGCAAUCUUUGUUGAUCGUAUUUUUAUAUAUUAAUAAUCGGAGGAGAACUCGAAUUAAAUAUAAAUCACACUAGACCAUUAGUUAAUAAGUCACUUUUAUCGUAUUUCCCACCGACGAAAUAAACUGGCCCGAAACUAAUCCUAACAAAGCGGUUAGGUUUGGCCCGUUUGGGAUUGGGCCUAAUCGACAGUUUACAAUAACCCUUGGGUUUAGUUCUUGUACAAUUUAAUUGAUAACCGGCCCUUUUCACCUAUAUACUGCAGUACAUACAUUACGAUCAUAAAAGGAUGAGACAACUCAGGUGCUCGAGUUUACACGUAGCUUUUUAAGCAAGAAACGACGACACCAAUGAGAAAGCUAUCUUAUCUUGCAUCCCAAGAAAAUGACAAGUCUUACCUCAGUUUUCUCGUGCCUAAUUAACCCACCCCUCCAAAUUGUCACCUGCCUUGCACCAGCCUACCUAAUAUUUCCGGCAGGCCCAGUUGGGAUUUUAAGAAAUGUCUAAUUUUUCUAGAUAUAUGUCGUCAUUCCAUUUCCUUUGCUUGAUUCUUUCCCUUCCUUGGAAAGUGACUUAAAACAAUGUCACCAAGAAAACAUUAUUCCACCGCACAACCUUUUUUUUAUGUCAAAUUUUCCCCUUAAUGUGGGUGUUAGUAAUAUUGAAAGAGAAAAUUUAAAAUAAUUUUAAGGGACCAAUGAGUAGCUAAUAUGUUUUUGGUUCAUAAUGUCAUUUAAGCAAAGCAAAAGUCUGUAACAAAACAAUGCUUAGGGAAAAAGUUAAGGAAAGACAAAUGAUUGUUCUUCAUUUGUGCAGCAUACAUACCGGUUGUAAUUAGCAGGAAGAAUGAAUGAACACUCUAUCAUCAACAAAUAUCAUGAAUGAGGAAUUCAAUCGGGUCGCUAUGAGUGCGUUGGAAUGCGCUUCACGCGCUCCAUUUCCUUCUGCGUUCUCUUGCCAAGCUCUUUCAGAUCCAAUCGGCUCGAAGGCGACUGCAUCUCCUGGUUUCACGUUUUCGGCUCACCGGCCUACUGAGAGUCAUGAAGGAUGGUUCGUCCAAACGAUUCCGUUCUGAGGAUUUUGCGCCUCCUGAAGGCGAUGAUGGUGGCAUGGAUUAGUCCGAACCGAUCCCUUCCAUGCUAGAGGUCAAUUUCAAAGAUAAGUUACUAAGCUCUUCUUGUUAAUAUCAUGAAUGAGGAAUUCAAUCGAGUCGCUAUGAGUGCGUUAGAAUGCACUUCAUGCGCUCCAUUUCAUUCUGCGUUCUCUUGCCAAACUCUUUCAGAUCCAAUCGGCUCGAAGGCGACUGCAUCUCCUGGUUUCACGUUUUCGGCUCACCGGCCUACCGAGAGUCAUGAAGGAUGGUUCGUCCAAACGAUUCCGUUAUAAGGAUUUUGCGCCUCAUGAAGGCGAUGAUGGUGGCAUGGAUUAGUCCAAUCAGAUCCCUUCCAUGCUAGAGGUCAAUUUCAAAGAUAAGUUACUAAUCUCUUCUUGUUUUGAAUAUACUGAAGGAAUGGAGAAGGAUGGUUUCUCCAUUGAAUCUGGUGAUUAUAAAGUUGAGGAUUCUCCAUAUGGUCAUUCAAUUCGUUUUUCUGAACAUGUUAAGAAUUAGAUCUAUAGACCUUGGAGAAAUUCUGUGAUUAUCCAAUUUGUAAGGAAGACUCAUACCUAUAAUUUUGUCUUUGCACGUCUGAAGCAGCGUUGGAGACUUAAGGGACCAAUGCAAUUAGUUGCUUUAGACAAUGGGUUAUUCAUUGUUCGUUUUGUUCUUGAGGAGGAUUUGUUGUAUGUGUUAACUGGGGGUCCUUGGGUAGUAGCAUGGCAGUAUGUUGCUGUUAAAAAACGGAGACCUGACAAGGCUACGUAUAGGGGGGUUCUGGUUAAAGUUCAAGCUAAACCUUCUGCUUGGAAAAGUCAACAGCUUUCUAUGGCUAGAAGAAUCACUUUAAUCCAAUCUGUUGCUUCUUCUAUGCCUCUAUAUACCAUGCAAACGGCUAAGCUACCUCAAGCUCUUUGUGAAGAUCUUGACAAAUCUUCUAAAAGUUUAGGCAGAGGAUGGUGUACAAAACCACAGUGCAUGCAGUUGAUUAGAUGACUACCAAAACCCCAAGUGAAGUUUCUCCUCAGAAGUGAAGUGAUAUAUAUCAUUCUUUGAAUCUUGAAGAUCAAUAAGAUGCUACGCUCCCUUUGUGGAGUUUCCUUACUGCAUUUCUUAUGUAACCUCUAAUAAGACCUUUAUUUGUGAAUGUUUUGGAUUUAUCAUCAUUGGCACUAGGCCGCGGGUUAAAAUAGGUGCAGCCAUUUCUGGAUUGUGAUAUUUUUGAACUAGUUUUAACGUAGGAUUUGGUUGUGGAUAAGUCUAAAAUCACAGAAAGUAAAGAGCAAAAAGAUUCGCAAUCACUAAAUCAGGCUACCAAGCCAAAUAUUUAUUGUCAAUAUCAUUAUUUUUUACCCGAUACAAACGAUAUUGAGAAGAAGGAAUCGGACACAAGACUUCCGGCUAAGAGCGAAAUGUCAUUUGAGUUCAAGCUUAUGAGCUUGGUUUAUUCUUAACUAUUGAUAUCAGAUUCACCAUUAACUUUUGGGGCUCCUUCAAUUCUUGCAACAACACGUAUCGUUGUCGAUGCAUCCGCCAUUGAUGUUUCCGCCAUAUUGUUGAAUGCAGGUUAAGAUACAGGAUUGCUUUGAGCAGUUAAUCAUUGGAAUAGUAGGGAAGGAGCAUGUUUGUGCCUCUCCUUGCAUUUUACCUAAAUAUCCACCCCCAAAACAAAACAAAAAAAAGGUUAAGACAUGUGAAGCCAUAAACCAAGCAUGAAUUCAGAUUGUGAACCAAAAAGCCUAAUAUAUUUAUUAUAUAUAAAAAAAGGACAUGCAUAUACCAAGAGAGAAAACCAAGAGAAGCAAAAUAAGCAUAGGGAAAAAAGCUGACUGGCCCUUCAUCUCUGUCUUUGAGAACAAGUAUGAAAAAUAUGUACUCAGCGGUCACAGUGCUAAUAACCUGCAAGCUCUCCUCGAUCUCUAUGUCUUCUUUUAUAACAAUCUUAAGGCUAAUAAUCAUCCCUUCCACACACUGUCGGUCAAACUAUUCUAAUCUCCUAGAUUCUCAAUUAAUGAUACAUAUACAUUGGUCUUGAUUUGCAUCCCUAAAGGGAGAUUUGAAUGUGACCCGUAACAUUUUGUAUUUUGCAAUCUUUGGAUUCGUAUGACUGCCAUAUAUGGUUGCCCAUUAAGGGAUUACCAUAUGGUUGGGAUUCGGAUCCUCAGCUAGGAUCUCCUUACCUUCUUUUCUCUAUGCCACUUCACUAAAACAAAUCACUCAAAAUUGACACAUUCGUUAUAUAACUACCUAAAAAUGUAAGAGGGGAUUUAUUAAUUAAAUUGGGUUAAAGAGUUUAUAUAGUGAUAAUAAUUUAGAAAAAUAAUAUCAUCUAGUAAAGCGGAAUGUUCCAUGUUAUAUAUUUCUUAAUUGAAAAUGUUUGUUGAUCGUAUUUUUAUAUAUUAAUAAUCGGAGGAGAACUCGAAUUAAAUAUAAAUCACACUAGACCAUUAGUUAAUAAGUCACUUUUAUCGUAUUUCCGACCGACGAAAUAAACUGGCCCGAAACUAAUCCUAACAAAGCGGUUAGGUUUGGCCUGUUUGGGGUUGGGCCUAAUCGACAGUUUACAAUAACCCUUGGGUUUAGUUCUUGUACAAUUUAAUUGAUAACCGGCCCUUUUCACCUAUAUACUGCAAUACAUACAUUACGAUCAUAAAAGAAUGAGACAACUCAAGUGCUCGAGUUUACACGUCGGUUUUUAAGCAAGAAACGACGACACCAAUGAGAAAGCUAUCUUCUCUUGCAUCCCAAGAAAAUGGCAAGUCUUACCUCAGCUUUCCCGUGCCCAAAUUAACCCGCCCCUUCAAGUUGUCACCUGCCUUGCACCAGCCUGCCUAAUAUUUCCGGCAGGCCCAGUUGGGAUUUUUAAGAAAUGCCUAAUUUUUUUAGAUAUAUGUCGUCAUUCCAUUUCCUUUGCUUGAUUCUUUCCCUUCCUUGGAAAAUGACUUAAAACAAUGUCACCAAGAAAACAUUAUUCACCGCACAACCUUUUUUGUAUCAAUUUUUCCCCUUAAUGUGGAUGUUAGUAAUAUUCAAAGAGAAAAUUUAAAAUAACUUUAAGGGACCAAUGGGCAACUAAUAUGUUUUUGGUUCAUAAUGUCAUUUAAGCAAAGCAAAAGUCUGUAACAAAACAAUGCUUGGGGAAAAAGUUAAGGAAAGACAAAUGAUUGUUCUUCAUUUGUGCAGCAUACAUACCGGUUGUAAUUAGCUGGAAGAAUGAACGAAAACUCUAUUAUCAACAAAAUAUCAUGAAUGAGGAAUUUAAUCGGGUCACUAUGAGUGCGUUGGAAUGCGCUUCACGCGCUCCCUUUCCUUCUGCGUUCUCUUGCCCAACUCUUUCAGAUCCAAUUAGCUCGAGGGCGACUGCGUCUCCUGGUUUCACGUUUUCGCUCACCGGCCUACCGAGAGUCCUGUUGUCAUGAAGGAUGGUUCGUCCAAACGAUUCUGUUCUGAGGAUUUUGCGCCUCCUGAAGGCGAUGAUGGUGGCAUGGAUCAGUCCGAUCAGAUCCCUUCCAUGCUAGAGGUCAAUUUCAAAGAUAAGUUACUAAGCUCUUCUUGUUUAAAUAUACUGAAGGAAUGGAGAAGGAUGGUUUCUCCAUUGAAUAUGGUGAUUAUGAAGUUGAGGAUUCUCCAUAUGGUCAUUCAAUUCUUUUUUCUGAACAUGUUAAGAAUAAGAUCUAUAGACCUUGGAGAAAUUCUGUGAUUAUCCAAUUUGUAAGGAAGACUCAUACCUAUAAUUUCAUCUUUUCACGUCUGAAGCAACGCUGGAGACUUAAGGGACUGAUGCAAUUAGUUGCUUUAGACAAUGGGUUCUUCAUUGUUCAUUUUGUUCUUGAGGAGGAUUUGUUGUAUGUGUUAACUGAGGGUCCUUGGGUAGUAGCAGGGCAGUAUGUUGUUGUUAAAAAACGGAGACCUGAUAAGGCUACGUUGACAGGACCCGCCUCGAGAUUUCCCCAAAACCGGGGCGAAGCCCAUCUUUAUUCCGACAUCUUCCCGAUGCCGGGCCCACCUACUAGAAACCGAGACUCUCUACCAAAAUUUUGGCAGAGUCUCCCCUGUGAAUUGAACAAACCAAUUAAAUUUAGCAUGCAUAAAAAUACAGAAUAAUCCUAACCAGCAGCAUGCUUUGAAGCGAAUAAACAGUUUACAACAAAAUAGCCUCCGGCCUCACAAUUCAACCCUAACAGGGGCGAUAACAGAGCAUGUCUAAGGACUUCAAUUACAACAAAAUAGAGUACAAAGGAAAUAACAUGAAGAAAGAGUCCUACGAUGACUCAAGGCUCGGAAGCGCACGAUCCGGCUCUGCUGCGGAGCUCAGUCAACUACUGGCUGGGGGGGCGCAAAACAGAAAAUUGUGAGUGGACAAAAAUAAAUUCAGUUUAGUGUAAACCAACGUAAUAUAACCCCACCGUUUAGAAAACCAUGCAAGAAAUCCCAUGCAUCUCAAAACCGUCAUACUCAAGUGUAUAUAUAUAUAUAUAUAUAUAUAAUAUAUAUAUAUAUAUAUAUAUCAAGACAAAUCAAUACCAGAUGCCAAGUCCGAAAUCCAUAAAGAAUACUUUACAAAACCUACCAUCCAAAAACUUAUAAAUCCCACAACCAAACUCUCAAAAGCGUACCCACUGGCACAACCGGCAAGGAAGUAUCCACACCGAGAAACAAGAAUGAAUGAAUAGAUAUAAAUAUAUAAUAUAAGAGAUAUAUAUAUAGUAUAAAUAUAACCAUCACCUUGUUGUACCGGGGAAACAAUCUAACCGGGGGAUUGUUUGACUAGUCACCCUGGCAGAGUCCUCGUGAUGAGUCCUUAAUCCACCAUGUGACUAGGGAACGAGUCGUCCAACUGGGGGACCAACUCUCAGCCAGAACGUACCGUCGAUAACCUCAAAACCCGUACAUCUGUGAUCAGUCCUACGCGUGCAGACUACCCAAUUAAGGGUCUAUAGCAACAUCCCGUCAAGGAUGCCGCGGGUCCCGACAAUUCCAAGUAUCUCAAGUCUCCGUAUCCAAGUUCCACAUCCGGAGAGGUACAUAGGGUAGUGCUUACAGCACACCAAACUGACAUUCUAUACUCACCACUUUCCACAAUCUCCUCUCAACAACCCAAGUACCUCACACAUAGCCAAAUAUAUAUAUAGAAAUCCCCAAAAUCCAUAUAUUCAUACUCAAGAUACUCAAAUACGUCAAAACCCAAAAUAUAUUUUCAAUGCCUCAUAAAAAUAUCACUUUCAACAAUUUCAUAAAUAAUAUAUCCAAAAUGCCAUUUAAAACAUCGUGCCUAAUAUUUCCCAAAAUCCAUAUAUAAAAUAUACUUUCAAUACCCAACUAUGCCAAAGCACUAUACAAACAUCAAAUUCAACUCAUGAAUAUAAUAUAUUCGUUAAAUCAUUUAAAACAUUAUGCAUAAAUCUUUCAUCAAUAAAACCAUGCAUAAGAUUUGAAAACAAAGUCUACUCACAAGUAGUCCCACGCUGCUUGACCCUGAGAGGGUCCUGCCUGCUGUGUAUGCGUGGUCGGAUUACCUAAUUCAGAAUACGUAUACGAGAUUAAUACGAAACGUUUCGAACGAGUACUUUAAAUUAAAUAUCCUAAUUUUCCAGGUUUCUAGUAAGUGUACUAGGAAUGAGACGUUCUAAGGUCCAACUACCCAAUUUGGACGAUGGAACAAUUUCGGGAGACACUCGGUCAACCAGCGGUCAAACUUCCCAAUUUGGGUCAACCGGGCCCACGGGACCCACGACCUCCGUUUUACAACCCAAAAGUUCCUAAAGGUUUCACAAGGUCUAAGAUACCCGUCUCGCAAGUUUGGUCCGAAACGGACAGUUAGAUCGCUUACAAUCGGACGAUCGGCCGGUUAUUAUAAAACGCAAACUUUAAGUUAUUGAACCGGAACAUCCGGGGUUCCGAUUCACAAUCCGCGAAUUCCUAUACAAUCCUAGGAAUACCUAGAACAACAUAUUUUAAUUCGGAAAGGAUCUAACGGUCGGAACCUAUCGAACCCGGAUAACGCACAAUAUGCGAAAAUCCGUUCGACAGUCAAACGAUGUCCGAAUUGAGAUCCGCGAAAUCCUACGUGCUCGUGACAACCAGGAGAUCGCAUUGGGACACAUAUGCCCCUCUGCUACAGUGCUCACACGCCGCCACACGCGCGGGCAGCGAGCGGGUGUCCAAAGCGAUAAAGCUUCGUCGGAAAAACUCAACAUCUCGGCUCAAGAUUCCUAUCCUUGGUACAACACCCUAUUUGGAGUCACUUUUGUUCUUGGGCCUACCCCAAAAAGUGACUGGAAGUGGCCGAAAACAAACUCCCAAAAUCGGCAGAAUUUCAAAUCGAAGAUCAGCUAUCCUAUGCUCAAAAUUAAUGAAAUCCUAUCCAACCAUCAGCUAGAGCAUGGAAAAUACGUAGAAAUCCAUACCUUACUCGUCAAAUUUGGAGAAGAAAUGAGAGAGAACGAGCGGUUUGAAAAUAUGUGAAAACCGGCUCGUUUUUCUGCAGAUUCCGGCGACACCAGCGGCUGCCGAGGUCGGGGAUGGAGCGGGAUGGAAGGAGGAGGAGCUGGCGGUCCUUUUGGGACCGGUACCACUCCAAACGGUGGCCGAUGGCGGCCGUGGUGGCUCUUGGAGCCACCGGCUGUGCAGAAAAAAAGGGGAAGGGGAGGGGCUGUUCGCGAGAGAGAGAGAGAGAGAGAGAGAGAGAGAGAGAGAGAGAGAGAGAGAGAGAGAGAAGUCAGAUAUUUUAAACCCAGACUUCAAAAUAUUUACGGUUUUGCCAUUGUCGAUGUUUUGCCCGUAACUUUUUCGUUACAACUCCGAUUCAAGCCUACCGCAUGUCUACGAAUUCGUCUCAAUACCACGGACUCAGAAAUACCAGUUACUGCCCCAAACACUUUCCGAGCAAGAAAAUGAUCAAUUUACCCCUACCCUAAGGGUAAAUUCAUAAAUUUGCUUAAAAAAUUUAAAAUAGGAAUUAAAUUUAGAGUCGGGGUGUUACAUACGUAUAGGAGGGUUCUGGUUAAAGUUCAGGCUAAACCUUCUGCUUGGAAAAGUCAACUGCUUUCUAUGGCUGGAAGAAUCACUUUAAUCCAAUCUGUUGCUUCUUCUAUGCCUCUAUAUACUAUGCAGACGGCUAAGCUUCCUGAAGCUCUUUGUGAAGAUCUUGACAAAUUUUCUAAAAGUUUAGGCAGAGGAUGGUGUACAAAACCACAGUGCAUGCGGUUGAUUAGAUGCAGACACGUACCUACUAACAUGCUAACCUGGGCUAAAGCCCAGACAGCUUGUUUUUUAAUAGACUAAAUUAAUAUUCUAGCCUAUGUCACCUAAAUAAAAUAUUAUUAAUUAAUCCCAUUAGGACUAGGCUAACCACUUAAAUAAAAUAUUAUUAACUAAUCCUAUUAGGACUAGGCUGACCAACAAAUAAAUAAAAAGAAUAAAAUUUACAAAAACAUACUACUUGAUUGAUAGAUUGAUUCGUUUAGUGCUAACUCUUCAUGUGUCUACAAUAACAACAGAAUGAGCGUUUUCAUGUACGAGACUUAUUCAAAAUCGACUUCGGAAUUAGAUAGGUGAUGAGUUUCUUGCUAAUUGUAUGCUACAUCAUAUCGAAAGAGAAUUUGCUGAUAAUAUAGAUAAUGAAUCAAUAAUUAGUGAUUUCAAUGCUAUGAAGACUUGAAUGGUGCAACUUCUAUAAGUGUUAUUUGAGGGGUAAGACUCAUUAUGUCUCCCACGUAUUUUUUUGUUAUCAAUGAAAUUUACUCAUACCGUUGAGUUUUCAAUAGGUUUGUAUAUAAGGUAAAUUUAGCCCACGCCAUUUUGAAAUUCUGGGUCCGUCCCUGAUUAGAUGACAACCAAAACCCCAAGUGAAAUCUCUCCUCAGAAGUGAUGUAUAUCAUUCUUUGAAUCUUGAAGAUCAAUAAGAUGCUACGCUCCCUUUGUGGAGUUUCCUUACUGCAUUUCUUAUGUAACCUCUAAUAAGACCUUUAUUUGUGAAUGUUUUGGAUUUAUCAUCAUUGGCACUAGG
rnacentral:lncRNA from 1 species